AUUGAACGCUGGCGGCAGGCCUCACACAUGCAAGUCGAGCGGAGUGGCGGACGGGAGAGUAAUGCCUAUGAAUCUGCCUGGCAGUGGGGGAUAACGUCCGGCGACGGGCGCUAAUACCGCAUACUAUCAUUUGAGCAUCGGUCGGAUUCGCUAGUUGGUGUGGUAAAGGCCUACAAAGGCGACGAUCCGUAACUGGUCUGAGAGGAUGAUCAGUCACACUGGAACUGAGACAGGGUCCAGACUCCUACGGGAGGCAGCAGUGGGGAAUAUUGGACAAUGGGCGAAAUCCUGAUCCAGCCAUGACGCGUGUGUGAAGAAGGUCUUCGGAUUGUAAAGCACUUUAAGUUGGGAGGCGUUACCAACAGAAUAAGCACCGGCUAACUUCGUGCCAGCAGCCGCGGUAAUAC
rnacentral:rRNA from 1 species